rnacentral:rRNA from 1 species
CUACGGGGCGCACCAGUGGGGAAUAUUGCACAAUGGGCGCAAGCCUGAUGCAGCCAUGCCGCGUGUAUGAAGAAGGCCUUCGGGUUGUAAAGUACUUUCAGCGGGGAGGAAGGGAGUAAAGUUAAUACCUUUGCUCAUUGACGUUACCCGCAGAAGAAGCACCGGCGAACUCCGUGCCAGCAGCCGCGGUAAUACGGGAGGGUGCAAGCGUUAAUCGGAAUUACUGGGCGUAAAGCGCACGCAGGCGGUUUGUUAAGUCAGAUGUGAAAUCCCCGGGCUCAACCUGGGAACUGCAUCGGAUACUGGCAAGCUUGAGUGUCGUAGAGGGGGGUAGAAUUCCAGGUGUAGCGGUGAAAUGCGUAGAGAUCUGGAGGAAUACCGGUGGCGAAGGCGGCCCCCUGGACGAAGACUGACGCUCAGGUGCGAAAGCGUGGGGAGCAAACAGGAUUAGAUACCCCGGUAGUC